CAGGGAGACAACAAAAUGUUUAAUAUUAUUAUUUUGUCACCUUAGGUCGAUCGGUAUCUCACGUUCUUAAUUCUUUAAGAAUUUCAUUUCCUAAGUUUUUCUAGGUCACACCCAUUAUUUUCCUGGGCCAUUAGCUCAGGUGGUUAGAGCGCACCCCUGAUAAGGGUGAGGUCCCUGGUUCAAGUCCAGGAUGGCCCAUAUCUCUAUGUUGGGGGUAUAGCUCAGUUGGUAGAGCGCCUGCUUUGCAAGCAGGAUGUCAGCGGUUCGAGUCCGCUUACCUCCACUGAUUACCACCUCUUCCAUAAUGUGUAGAAAGGAAAAUUUUGUAUUGUGACUAUAGUUCUGAACGAAUCUAGCUUCCUAAUAAAAUCAUUAAGAUGCUGGACUCAUUGAAUUAAUUUCAUUGUUUUCAGAGAACCUUGACAACUGCAUAGAUUAUUUUUUUAAAGACAAUAAGCAUCUUUAGUGAUGCAGAUUUAUUAUUUGUGCAAAUGCAUUAAUAACAAUUCUAUUAAGCUGAUGCUUCA
rnacentral:tRNA from 1 species